AGAAACAGCGACGCAGCUCACACUAGUUUUUAGCUAGUUAUAUCUUCCCAAAAGAAUGACAUGUGGUCUGAAAUGGGGAAACAUUACGCUCAAGUAGGAUGAUUACGUCGAGAAAUAACAAACAAAAAAAUGUGACGAAACAAAGAAUAGAGGCAUUCAGUUAUACUGAGGAAGAGCAAAGCAUUGGUCAAAAAACCCAGGAAGAUGUCAAUCCAGAAGAUUUGGAGAUGGGUGUACAAAGGUGCCCUGUAAAGCAGCAAGAAAAUGCUGAUGCAUGUUGUUGCUUCUUCACAGAUUGUCCUAUUAACCUACCCCCCCUCCCGUGCCCACACACACUCAC